AGUGAACGCUGGCGGUAGGCCUAACGCAUGCAAGUCGAACGGCAGCACAGUAAGCGCUUGCUCUUACGGGUGGCGAGUGGCGGACGGGUGAGGAAUACAUCGGAAUCUACUUUUUCGUGGGGGCUAACGUAGGGAAACUUACGCUAAUACCGCAUACGACCUACGGGUGAAAGCAGGGGAUCUUCGGCCCUUGCGCGAUUGAAUGAGCCGAUGUCGGAUUAGCUAGUUGGCGGGGUAAAGGCCCACCAAGGCGACGAUCCGUAGCUGGUCUGAGAGGAUGAUCAGCCACACUGGAACUGAGACACGGUCCAGACUCCUACGGGAGGCAGCAGUGGGGAAUAUUGGACAAUGGGCGCAAGCCUGAUCCAGCCAUACCGCGUGGGUGAAGAAGGCCUUCGGGUUGUAAAGCCCUUUUGUUGGGAAAGAAAAGCAGCAGGUUAAUACCCCGCUGUUCUGACGGUACCCAAAGAAUAAGCACCGGCUAACUUCGUG
rnacentral:rRNA from 1 species